rnacentral:lncRNA from 7 species
GCUAUGGGUUCUGAUCUGAAGAGUAUGGCCCCAGCAGCAGGAAUUUGCAAGACCAGGCAGCAUUAAAAUUCUGUGAAUCUGCUGAGAUCUGAGGUGGACUACGUGCUCCUAAGACUCACAGUCCAUGACAGGCUUCAUCUCAUCAAAAUGAAUGGUGUCUCUUUAUGGCCUGGCAUGUACCGGCAGAAGGUUCUAAGUUACACCAAUGGGACAUUUAAACCUGCCCUAAAAUGCGUUUCAGGUAGGAACAGAAUGACUGUGGAGCAGCCUGCAAUGCCCAUUUGUCGAUUUCCUUGCACUGCACAUGAUCAAUCUGCAUUGCCAUGGGUAAUGAGGUUGGAAGAACCAAACCAUGCUAGAAACAGAACCGCUGCAAGCCAGUCCAGAAGAAUGCGAUGCGUUUACUGCUCUGCCUGGCUGCUGAUGUGGUUUGUCAGGGACCUGGCCUGUAGGUGUCCUGUCAUAUGGUUCUGGGUGCUCCCAGUUGACCUUUGCACAUUCCAGGCAGCUAAAUACAUGCACGCCCCAGAGCUAGUACUGUUCUGGCAUAGAAGCACACCUGGCAAGAUCAAAAAGUAUAAACAUCUUCAGCCUCUGCAGCUGAUGCUCCCAGUGACACCCACGCCUCUGUACAAGUAAACAUCUGUAACCUUCAUGGAUGGUCCCUCUCCACUGGGCCGAGCAGUUCAUGUCCUGGCGCACACUGGUUUGCCAUUCUUUAACUCUUGACUCAUAUUGCCUUUCAGAUAUAUGCAGGGUGUCUCUAAACUGAAGGUCUGAAAGGCAGGAGAUUGAGAUAGGGAGGACAAAGCCAAUUUCUUCUUUUCUCUGGAUACUCUGGUUAUCUCAGCAAUGAGAGAGCUGUUCUGGUCACUCACCCAUCUUUCUCUACCCCUGCUGUCUACUACUUUCUUGAUCAGGUCAUUGCAAAAAUAAUGGAAGGUUUCCUUUGAACAUGUUUUCUAAUAAGGAAAUGCUAUCGCUUUAGGGCAGCUGAACAGUCAGAGCUUAUGGGGGAAUCCUAGGAGGACUAUUGGAUUGAGAUUUGAGGGCUCAUCAGAGCAGAACAUUGGAUGCAGAGUUCAAAGUGCCCUUGUGUGGGUCCAUUCAGAAGCCACUCAGCAGACCACAGGCGCAUACCUUGUGAGUACUUGGUCUCCUGGAGGUCACACUGCCCCUGGAUGUUUGCUACUAGCUGCUGUGCAGCAGCACUGCCAGAUGUGGGGGACACAAUCUGUUCCUGGCCUUUUGCUGCAGACAGAUGCAAAACCAGGACUGCUCCUACUUUGGCUCUGACUCCUGGUCAUCACAUGUGUGACCUCAAAGCUAAUGCACACCAUUGUGUACCUGCAGACUUACUGGAGCAAAGCCUCCAAAUGGCAAAUGGAAAAGCCAUCUGGACUUGUCCACGGCCCUGUUAACUCUCAUGGUGCUGCCUUGGCUGUAGUCAACCACCUCUAGCAGGAGGAAAUGUGAUCCUUAACAAAACCAGAGAAGCUUAUCAAGUCACUGAGCAAACCUACAGCAUCCCUUGUACAGGCAGAGAUUCUUCUGAAGCCCCAUCAGAAUUUCUGGUCCAGUCAUCUGCCUCAUUCUCUCUGUUCAACAUCUGUGGUGCUUUUGUUCAGCAGGAAAAAGCAAAGAUGUUUAAAAGAAAACAAAAAACAGAGCACAAUGCAAACAAACCAAAUUAAAGAAAACGUUUUAAAGCAUUUCCUUGCUCACAAGAUGUGAGAUGGUCAUGUGUUUAAAACUGCAAUAUUAUUUCUGGCAACCGGUCUUGUGAUAUCCUUUUGUUGAUUUUUCCAACCUCUCAAGAAACUGGAAUGAAAAUAUUUUACUGAUGUUACCAUCCCUGGGAACGGUUUGUCAAUGCUGACCCAGGUUAAUGCUGCAAACUCAAAAUAUUUGGCAUGUGCUUUUGUAUUUUUCCUUCAUCAAAGAGAUUAUAGGGGGUGAAGGUCUGUUCACAUGAAAGCAGUGAGAGAUACCGGCAGUGUACUUAGCAAAACAAGAGGGGCCCUUUUAUAAAUGUGUGUGCAUAUAUGCAAAUAUGCUUUUGCAGAUGAUAAUAUAAUCAUGAAAAAGUCAUUACUGUCGCAUUAAGGUAGCUGGCUAACGGGAAAGCUGUGUGGAUGUUGUGGGGAUGGAUAUACUGUAGAAACAAGGACAUAUCCAUCACAGUUCUGUGGCAGUUCUGUGACCGGGGGAAUCAAUGGAGCCUGAUUUUCUAUGGCUUUGUGCCCUGAUGUUAUGACCCUAUCGAGAUUUUUCCAAUGUCUCAUAUGAGAUGCUGCACUUUUUACCUCAGAGAGGCACUAAGCACGGCUCUUAGCUCAUUAGCUGACUGCCUACUUUCAGAAUACUUUUAAGGAUGUAAGAGGGUUGGGUUUUUUUUGGAUUUUUAUACCUUUGCCAAAUGUGCUUGCUAUAGGCCUAAACAUUUGAAGAUUCAUAGAGAGGUCUCAGAUGUACAAAGAGACGGCAUGGAGUCCUAAAGCCAAUUUCUGUGAAAUCAAUUUAAGUGUCCUCGCACUUUAGCUAUGGAAAAGAAAAACAAAUGUGAAUUAAAACAGAAAACAUGAUUUUAAACGUAAAUACGGAAUGUGAUGGCUAAGGAAGAAAAGAUAAACAUGCAGAUUAAAAAUCAGUCACUCAGGGGAGGCCUUCCGCUAACUUGCAAUGAGAAUUUCGCACCUAAUUGCAAUCUGUGUCUUUCAAAAUCACACAACCUCUGCUGUAAAAGUACAUGAAACUUCUCACAGACGACAUUAUGUUAAAAAACUCCUCCAUUUGCUCUGGUGCCUGGGAAUAAACAAACCUGACUUCUGGUUGCAGCUUG